GCGACCCCAGGUCAGGCGGGGAUACCCGCUGAGUUUAA
rnacentral:rRNA from 1 species